rnacentral:rRNA from 1 species
AACGAACGCUGGCGGCAGGCUUAACACAUGCAAGUCGAGCGCACCGCAAGGUGAGCGGCAGACGGGUGAGUAACGCGUGGGAAUCUACCCAGUUCUACGGAAUAACACAGGGAAACUUGUGCUAAUACCGUAUACGCCCUCCGGGGAAAGAUUUAUCGGAAUUGGAUGAGCCCGCGUUAGAUUAGCUAGUUGGUGGGGUAAUGGCCUACCAAGGCGACGAUCUAUAGCUGGUCUGAGAGGAUGAUCAGCCACACUGGGACUGAGACACGGCCCAGACUCCUACGGGAGGCAGCAGUGGGGAAUAUUGGACAAUGGGCGAAAGCCUGAUCCAGCCAUGCCGCGUGAGUGAUGAAGGCCCUAGGGUUGUAAAGCUCUUCCAGUGGGGAAGAUAAUGACGGUACCACAGAAGAAGCCCCGGCUAACUUCGUG